GCCAGUGUGGUAUAGUGGUUUGAGCAUCUGACUAUGACUCAGAAGGCCAGGGUUUGAAUCCCAGCUCAGUGA